GACGAACGCUGGCGGCGUGCUUAACACAUGCAAGUCGAACGGAAAGGCCCUGCUUUUGUGGGGUGCUCGAGUGGCGAACGGGUGAGUAACACGUGAGUAACCUGCCCUUGACUUUGGGAUAACUUCAGGAAACUGGGGCUAAUACCGGAUAGGAGCUCCUGCUGCAUGGUGGGGGUUGGAAAGUUUCGGCGGUUGGGGAUGGACUCGCGGCUUAUCAGCUUGUUGGUGGGGUAGUGGCUUACCAAGGAUUUGACGGGUAGCCGGCCUGAGAGGGUGACCGGAAAAAGUGGGACUGAGAUACGGAACAGAAUCGUACGGGAGGCAGCAGGGGGGAAUAGUGCAAAAUGGGCGGAAGCCUGAGGCAGCAAAGCGGCGUGCGGGAUGAAGGACUUCGGGUUGUAAACCGAUUUCGCCUGUGACGAAGCGUGAGUGACGGUAAUGGGUAAAGAAGCACCGGCUAACUACGUG
rnacentral:rRNA from 1 species